rnacentral:rRNA from 1 species
UGCGGAAGGAUCAUUAUUGUAUAACACGAGACAUUGAGGCUGUCGCUGACGAAAGUCGUGCACGCCUUGGUGUUCUUACAUCCAUUUCACCCUUGUGCAUCAUCGCGUGGGCCGUUCCCAUUGGGAAUGGUCUACGUUUUUAAUACAAACCCCUAUUGAUGUGUAGAAUGUGUACUUUGCGAUAACCACGCAACUAAUACAACUUUCAACACGGAUCUCUUGGNUCUCGCAUCCAUGAAGAACGCAGCGAAAUGCGAUACGUAAUGUGAAUUGCAGAAUUCAGUGAAUCAUCGAAUCUUUGAACGCNCCUUGCGCCUCUUGGUAUUCCGAGGGGCACGCCCGUUUGAGUGUCGUGAAAUUCUCAACUCCUCUUGGUUUUCUUUUGAAGGCUAAGAGGGCUUGGACUUGGAGGUUCUUGCUGGCAGCACUUUGCGAUCAGCUCCUCUUAAAUGCAUUAGCGAGGUUCUCUUUUGCUGACCUUUGGCGUGAUAAGUAUCUACGUCUUUGGUGUGGCUCUGCUGUUAGAACCUGCUUCUAAUCGUCUCUUUGCUGAGACAACUUGAGUUCUCUUUAUUGAGGCUCUAACUCACACCCUUGACCUCAAAUCGGGCGGGACUANCUCGCUGAACUUAAGCAUAUCAUAAGCGGAGGAAAGAAACUAACAGGAUUCUCCUAGUAACUGCGAGUGAAGCGGAAAGCUCAAAUUUAAAAUC